rnacentral:misc_RNA from 1 species
GAUGAAGAACGCAGCGAAAUGCGAUAAGUAAUGUGAAUUGCAGAAUUCAGUGAAUCAUCGAAUCUUUGAACGCACAUUGCGCCCCCUGGUAUUCCGGGGGGCAUGCCUGUCCGAGCGUCAUUACAACCCUCAAGCUCAGCUUGGUGUUGGGCCCCGCCGCCCCGGCGGGCCCUAAAGUCAGUGGCGGUGCCGUCCGGCUCCGAGCGUAGUAAUUCUUCUCGCUCUGGAGGUCCGGUCGUGUGCUCGCCAGCAACCCCCAAUUUUUUUCAGGUUGACAUCGGAUCAGGUAGGGAUACCCGCUGAACUUAAGCAUAUCAAUAAGCGGAGGA